UCACGUCUGAUGAUUUUGAUUGAGCUUGCUCAAGGGUCUGAGGGAAAGCUCACUCCUGGAUCCUGGAGCUGACUCAACAGAGAGAGGAAAGACUGGACUGACAUGGACCAGCUCUGUUCUCUUCUCAUCCUCCAGCAGAGAAAACUACUUGGAGUGAGUAGAAACUGUCCAUAAACUCUUUAUGGAAAGAACUUUGAGAUCUACUAGAAACAAGACAAGAGAGGUGGGGUAAUGUCUCAGUCAUGAAGAUAAUUGUCUUCCACAAGUAGAACAGAUUCAUACUGCAUGACCACAGGCUGUCAUACGACUUCUA